UACGUAGGGACCGAGCGUUGUCCGGAAUCAUUGGGCGUAAAGAGCGUGUAGGCGGCCUUUUAAGUCCUGCGUGAAAUCCUGCGGCUCAACCGCAGACGGUCGUGGGAAACUGGAAGGCUAGAGUGCGGCAGAGGGGGAUGGAAUUCCGCGUGUAGCAGUGAAAUGCGUAGAUAUGCGGAGGAACACCGAUGGCGAAGGCAAUCCCCUGGGCCUGCACUGACGCUCAUGCACGAAAGCGUGGGGAGCAAACAGG
rnacentral:rRNA from 1 species